rnacentral:rRNA from 1 species
GACGAACGCUGGCGGCGUGCUUAACACAUGCAAGUCGAACGGAAAGGCCCUGCUUUUGUGGGGUGCUCGAGUGGCGAACGGGUGAGUAACACGUGAGUAACCUGCCCUUGACUUUGGGAUAACUUCAGGAAACUGGGGCUAAUACCGGAUAGGAGCUCCUGCUGCAUGGUGGGGGUUGGAAAGUUUCGGCGGUUGGGGAUGGACUCGCGGCUUAUCAGCUUGUUGGUGGGGUAGUGGCUUACCAAGGCUUUGACGGGUAGCCGGCCUGAGAGGGUGACCGGCCACAUUGGGACUGAGAUACGGCCCAGACUCCUACGGGAGGCAGCAGUGGGGAAUAUUGCACAAUGGGCGGAAGCCUGAUGUAGCAACGCCGCGUGCGGGAUGACGGCCUUCGGGUUGUAAACCGCUUUCGCCUGUGACGAAGCGUGAGUGACGGUAAUGGGUAAAGAAGCACCGGCUAACUACGUGCCAGCAGCCGCGGUGAUACGUAGGGUGCGAGCGUUGUCCGGAUUUAUUGGGCGUAAAGGGCUCGUAGGUGGUUGAUCGCGUCGGAAGUGUAAUCUUGGGGCUUAACCCUGAGCGUGCUUUCGAUACGGGUUGACUUGAGGAAGGUAGGGGAGAAUGGAAUUCCUGGUGGAGCGGUGGAAUGCGCAGAUAUCAGGAGGAACACCAGUGGCGAAGGCGGUUCUCUGGGCCUUUCCUGACGCUGAGGAGCGAAAGCGUGGGGAGCGAACAGGCUUAGAUACCCUGGUAGUCCACGCUGUAAACGGUGGGUACUAGGUGUGGGGUCCAUUCCACGGGUUCCGUGCCGUAGCUAACGCUUUAAGUACCCCGCCUGGGGAGUACGGCCGCAAGGCUAAAACUCAAAGGAAUUGACGGGGCCCCGCACAAGCGGCGGAGCAUGCGGAUUAAUUCGAUGCAACGCGUAGAACCUUACCUGGGUUUGACAUGGAUCGGGAGCGCUCAGAGAUGGGUGUGCCUCUUUUGGGGUCGGUUCACAGGUGGUGCAUGGCUGUCGUCAGCUCGUGUCGUGAGAUGUUGGGUUAAGUCCCGCAACGAGCGCAACCCUUGUUCACUGUUGCCAGCACGUUAUGGUGGGGACUCAGUGGAGACCGCCGGGGUCAACUCGGAGGAAGGUGGGGAUGACGUCAAGUCACCAUGCCCCUUAUGUCCAGGGCUUCACGCAUGCUACAAUGGCUGGUACAGAGAGUGGCGAGCCUGUGAGGGUGAGCGAAUCUCGGAAAGCCGGUCUCAGUUCGGAUUGGGGUCUGCAACUCGACCUCAUGAAGUCGGAGUCGCUAGUAAUCGCAGAUCAGCAACGCUGCGGUGAAUACGUUCCCGGG